UAACCAAUACAACAGUACAACAGUAAUUGUGGUUUUUGAUGUGCUUUUAUAUUACAGAUAUCACACAUUUACUGUACCAUGCUUUUGAUACAUUUUUAUGUAAAUCCAAAAAAAAGUAAAUAAAUAAAAGGACACAUUUUUCCCUUCCUGCAGUUCAUUCAUAUCAGUUUAUAUUUUAAAUAUUUUGCUCACAAAACAUUAUUAAAAUUCUGUUUAUAAUUCUAUUUUAUUCUACCCCUCCCCCUUUCUUAUUUUUAUUAUUUAUGUAUUUUUUUUUAGCUGAAAAGAUGUAAAGGAAGCAGUCAUCCCUGUGGUGUUUGUGGAGAGGUAUUUUUUCAGAAAUGGAGAAGACAGAAAGCUGCGGAGGCAGACAUUUGCAGCAGAUUGUUUGCAGAUAAUGCUGUUCAAGCUCAACAGCUCUUUUAAGAGCCAACCCUCACAAACCUUCCUAAAAACUAAAAGAGCUAUUACUGAGUCUCAGCGAAUCUUGCCAUGAUCAGCUCUUCCCAGAAGAGAAGGAAGACCAAGGAAAUGAUUUGCUCAGGAUGAGGAAUGAAGACGGCCAUCUUAAGCCCAAACAAAGACAGAAGUCCUCUGAUGAUCUCAUCAGCCAAAUGGGGGGUUUUGACCAAGUGAUGCUCUUGAAAGGACUGAAAGAAGAGGAUGUGGUAAAUUGUCUUCAGAGAAAAACCUUCUCUAAAGGUCUUAAAACAGCUUGAAGAAUGGUCUGGGAUGUUAGGACUGAGAGAUCCUCUGGCUGAGAAAAGGCUACACCACAUCAGUGCUGGAUAUCAACCACAAACUGUUUCCAGACACGAGAGAAGAAGAUCAUGAUGGGGAGAUGAAACCAGUUUAGAUGUG